CAUCUCUAAAUUCAAAUCCUAGCCUCUCAAUUUCAAUUAUCCUUCACACGACAAUAUAUAUAUAUAUAUAUUUAUAUAUGAGUCAGGCUAAUACUAUCGACAACACUAAAAAUUUGGUGCUAUCGAAUUUUUCACCUUUAGAUUUAACCCUUUGAUUAUUUUUACCCAUUAAAUUAUAUUAUUCAACCAAUCACCCACUCAAUCCUAAAAGACUCAUAUCAUUCUAAUCACAUAUUUCUCAAUUCAAUAAUUAAAAAAUUAGUAGCAUCAACAACUUUGUGCUAUUAAUAAUAUUCCAGCCUAAUAUAGGUUGAGAUGAUGGUGGUAGGUGGUGGUAGGUAGUGGUAGGUGGAAUAGUAUUUAAUCCAAGGACUAUUAAUAAUCAAAAAGUAGAUCCAAUGGCUUAAAACCUAAUAGCACCAUGAUGGUGAUACUUGUAAAAGUAUCAUAGCUCAACUCUAUAUAUAGAGUAGGGCUAGAAUACUUGUAAAAGUAUCAUGAGGGUGAUACUUGUGUGUUUUUAGCCCUUAGAUGGAGAGAUGUGGGGUUGAGAUGAUGGUGAUAGGUGGUGAUAGGUGGUGAUAGGUGGAAUAGUGUUUAAUCCAAGAGCUAUUAAUAAUCAAAAAGUAGAUCCAAUGACUUAAAACCUAAUAGCACCAUGAUGAUGAUACUUGUAAAAAUAUCAUAGCUCAACUCUAUAUAUAUAUAUAUAUAUAUAUAUCCUCUCUUUCCACUCAUUUUACCCUUUUGUUUUUGUUUUCU
rnacentral:lncRNA from 1 species